rnacentral:rRNA from 1 species
GUCGUGUCGGGAAAGAUUCAUCGGUAUGGGAUGGGGUCGCGUCCUAUCAGCUUGAUGGCGGGGUAACGGCCCACCAUGGCUUCGACGGGUAGCCGGCCUGAGAGGGCGACCGGCCACAUUGGGACUGAGAUACGGCCCAGACUCCUACGGGAGGCAGCAGUGGGGAAUAUUGCACAAUGGGCGCAAGCCUGAUGCAGCGACGCCGCGUGCGGGAUGACGGCCUUCGGGUUGUAAACCGCUUUUGACUGGGAGCAAGCCCUUCGGGGUGAGUGUACCUUUCGAAUAAGCACCGGCUAACUACGUGCCAGCAGCCGCGGUAAUACGUAGGGUGCAAGCGUUAUCCGGAAUUAUUGGGCGUAAAGGGCUCGUAGGCGGUUCGUCGCGUCCGGUGUGAAAGUCCAUCGCUUAACGGUGGAUCCGCGCCGGGUACGGGCGGG